rnacentral:rRNA from 1 species
GACGAACCGUGCUAACGUUGUUCGGAAUCACUGGGCUUAAAGGGCGCGUAGGCGGUUUGUUAAGUCGGCUGUGAAAGCCCGGGGCUCAACCCCGGAGGGUCAGCCGAUACUGGCAGACUAGAGUACGGAAGAGGUAGCUGGAAUUCCCGGUGUAGCGGUGAAAUGCGUAGAUAUCUGGAGGAACACCGGUGGCGAAGGCGGCAUCCUGGAUUGGUAUUGACGCUGAGGAGCGAAAGCUAGGGGAGCAAACGGG